CACUUUGUUUAUGAAAAAGGUGUAGCAUUUUGUGAAAUGCAUGGGUCAAAAGUCAUGCAGAUCUGCAGCACUGCUCUUUUAGCAUUCAUUUCAAGCUAAU